AUUUGGUCAGUCUUUACGUUGCCUAAUUUCGUAGGAUCUCAUUCGAAUAAGCAUACGUUUUCAUACAAUAUCGUACAAACCCGUUCAUGAGAAUGCGUUGCAGAGUUGAAAAUAAACAACAGCGAGGGGAUUUUUUUCUGACAUCGUCUGAGGUAAAAUACUUUCAAAAUCCCUUUUUUUUUCAUUUCCUAAAAAUGAUUCCCUGGAAACGGGUGUUCGUUUCUAAGGAGGGUUUUACUCCAAACCACAAUCUUUUUCCUAAACUUAACCAGUCGUUUUGGUGCCUAAACUUAACGGUCGUUGCCGCAUGACUCCUACUUUGUUCGGAGUACACAUGUCCUGA